GACGAACGCUGGCGGCGUGCCUAAUACAUGCAAGUCGAGCGGAUGAUGGAGGAGCUUGCUCCUCCUGAUUCAGCGGCGGACGGGUGAGUAACACGUGGGCAACCUGCCCUGUAAAUUGGGAUAACUCCGGGAAACCGGGGCUAAUACCGCAUAACCCACCGGACCUCAUGGUCUGGUGUUGAAAGACGGCAUCUCGCUGUCACCACAGGAUGGCCCCGCGGCGCAUUAGCUAGUUGGUGAGGUAACGGCGCACCAAGGCCACGAUGCGUAGCCGACCUGAGAGGGUGAGCGGCCACACUGGGACUGAGACACGGCCCAGACUCCUACGGGAGGCAGCAGCAGGGAAUCUUCCACAAUGGACGAAAGUCUGAUGGAGCAACGCCGCGUGAGUGAAGAAGGUUCUCGGAUCGUAAAACUCUGUUGUGAGGGAAGAACAAGUACCGGAGUAACUGCCGGUACCUUGACGGUACCUCAUUAGAAAGCCACGGCUAACUACGUGCCAGCCGCCGCAGUAAGAC
rnacentral:rRNA from 1 species